rnacentral:rRNA from 1 species
UACGAAGGGGGCUAGCGUUGCUCGGAAUGACUGGGCGUAAAGGGCGCGUAGGCGGAUUGUACAGUCAGGCGUGAAAUCCCCCAGGCUCAACCUGGGAACUGCAUUUGAAACUCCCUUUCUUGAGUACCGGAGAGGAAAGUGGAAUUCCUGGUGUAGAGGUGAAAUUCGUAGAUAUCAGGAGGAACACCAGUGGCGAAGGCGGCUUUCUGGACGGUAACUGACGCUGAGACGCGAAAGCGUGGGGAGCAAACAGG